CUCAGGUGAUCCUCCCUUCUCAGCCUCCCAAAGUGUUGGGAUUACAGGCGUGAGCCACCAUGCUCAGCCUGCAUUUGCUAUUUUGAUAUCUAUUACCAAAUUUUUCUUUGGAAAUGUGCCAGUUUACACUCCCACAAAUACUUUUGUCAGCAUUAGUUAGGUAUUACAUGUUUUUAAAUCCUCAUUAAUUCAGCAAACAAUUUUAUUUUAAUUGCCAUAUAGCUUGCUAUGUGUAUGUCUCUUGAAGAAUUACCUGUUCUUUUUAUUGAGGUCUUUAUUUUUUAUUGACUUGUAACUGUUCAUUGCAUCUUAAAAAUAGUAGCACUUUGUUGUGUGCUUACUGUUGUUUUCCCUCAGUUUUUCUUGGUUUUGAACUAGUUUUUGUUUUGUUUUUGUUUUUUGCCAUAUAGAAGGGUUACAAAGUUAAAUAUUUCCAUGUUUUCCAUUAUAGCUUCUGGUAGUAACUAGAAUUUACCUAAGCCCAGAAGAAUAAAAAGUCACCUGUGUUUUAUUCUGGCUUUAUACUGUUUUCAUUUGUUCUGUUAUAAUUUUUGUAUAAGAAAUCCAGGAAUCUAUUUUGCUUCUGAAGUGGCUGUCCAAUCAGGAUUUACCUUUUACCACUUGGUUGGAGAGGUGGGGGAAGAAGAGACUGGAGGAAAUAGAAGCUGAAGACAGGACUAGAUGUGUCUCCCUCCCCAGCCUCCUUUCUCUGCAGAGGUGGAGGAAUCACGGAAGCUAUCGUGGCUUUAGGUGUUGACUUUUGUCAAUGUUUGCUGAAGCCAGGAGUGAAAUUGAGACAAUAUUCCGAUUCUUGGAACCUGAGUUAGCGUUAAAGGGGAUGACAAACAGGCUGUUGUUAGGAGGUAGUUCCAUGUAAUAGGAAGAGUUUCCACCUCCCUCAGAGGCUGCCUUUCUCGUUUCUCCAAAUGAUUUCGCGGUUGGCCUAAGUUUCCUUUACUUCUCCCUACGAUGGUGUAACAUUAGCUUGAAUGCUGACGCUAUGUGGUGGUGAGCGGCAGUGGGUGUAUCUUGCCCAUAAACCCUUGGAGGACAGUGGAGGACAGGGACUGACCAACUCACCCAAGGGUCCUCUGCAUGCACAUGGUCCCUGCACAUGGCACAUAGUUGGUGCUCAGAAGGCCUUUGCUGGAACAAAGGAAAACACAAGCACCCACAGCAGUGAUGGCUGAUUUUGUCGGGUCUGCAAUGGAGAUUAGUCACCACUAGGUGUCAUGGUGAGUCAAGAAACAUUUUGGCUCAUGGUUACAAAUUAUGCGUUUACUGUAUUCAUCUUCGUGCAUGCACACAUGCAAUGUUUUACAAAGCAUCUGUUGAGUGUCUACGGCACAACACACACGUUCUGGUGCUGGAGAUCCUGCCCUGGCUGAGCUUCUGGACCUGGUGGGGAGAAAUCCACAAUGAGUACUGAGACGACCGGCAAAAGCCCGGUGAAGGCACCUAGGAGUAGGGCCUGCUUACCCUGGAGGAGUCGGGAGCAGCUUCCACAGCAAGGAGGCUUCUAAGAAAUGAUCUCCAGUGCCCAGGCUCUGAUGCCCAACAGACCUGAAGUUACAUCCCAACCUGAACAGGCGGCUUUUGCUCUCCAGGCCUUCAUUGCCCCACAGUGGGAACAAUAAUAAUAUGCACCUUCUAGGUACCCAAAAGCACAAGAGACAGUGAACGGAAAGUGCUUGGAAGCCCCGUGCCCAGGUGGUGCUGGCCCCAGCUGAACUGCGGGGAUAGAUGUUGAGUGUCCAGGUUCUAGCAUCAUAGAACAGAAUCCGGCCUGUUGGGAAAUCCUGCCUACAAGUAUACCUCCAUUAAUUAGUGUCUUCUGUGAACAUUUUUAUUAAAAAAAGAAGAAAAGCUUCUCAA
rnacentral:lncRNA from 1 species